GUUGGGUAGGGGAGCGUUCUGUAAGCCUGUGAAGGUGUGCUGUGAGGCAUGCUGGAGGUAUCAGAAGUGCGAAUGCUGACAUAAGUAACGAUAAUGCGGGUGAAAAACCCGCACGCCGGAAGACCAAGGGUUCCUGUCCAACGUUAAUCGGGGCAGGGUGAGUCGACCCCUAAGGCGAGGCAGAAAUGCGUAGUCGAUGGGAAACGGGUUAAUAUUCCCGUACUGGUGAUAAUUGCGAUGGGGGGACGGAGAAGGCUAGGCUAUCCGGGCGACGGUUGUCCCGGUUUAAGGAUGUAGGCAGGUGAAUUAGGCAAAUCCGGUUCACUAUAUGCUGAGGUCCGACGACGAGUCACUACGGUGAUGAAGUAGCUCAUGCCCCGCUUCCAGGAAAAGCCUCUAAGCUCUAGAUUAUCAUUAAUCGUACCCCAAACCGACACAGGUGGUCAGGUAGAGAAUACUCAGGCGCUUGAGAGAACUCGGGUGAAGGAACUAGGCAAAAUGGUGCCGUAACUUCGGGAGAAGGCACGCUGGCAUUAGGUGAAGUGGUUUACCCAUGGAGCUGAAGCCAGUCGCAGAUACCAGCUGGCUGCAACUGUUUAUUAAAAACACAGCACUGUGCAAACACGAAAGUGGACGUAUACGGUGUGACGCCUGCCCGGUGCUGGAAGGUUAAUUGAUGGGGUUAUCCGUAAGGAGAAGCUCUUGAUCGAAGCCCCAGUAAACGGCGGCCGUAACUAUAACGGUCCUAAGGUAGCGAAAUUCCUUGUCGGGUAAGUUCCGACCUGCACGAAUGGCGUAAUGAUGGCCAGGCUGUCUCCACCCGAGACUCAGUGAAAUUGAACUCGCUGUGAAGAUGCAGUGUACCCGCGGCAAGACGGAAAGACCCCGUGAACCUUUACUAUAGCUUGACACUGAACAUUGAGCCUUGAUGUGUAGGAUAGGUGGGAGGCUUUGAAGUGUGGACGCCAGUCUGCAUGGAGCCAACCUUGAAAUACCACCCUUUAAUGUUUGAUGUUCUAACGUUGCCCCAUUAUCUGGGGUGCGGACAGUGUCUGGUGGGUAGUUUGACUGGGGCGGUCUCCUCCCAAAGAGUAACGGAGGAGCACGAAGGUUGGCUAAGCAUGGUCGGACAUCAUGCGGUUAGUGCAAAGGCAUAAGCCAGCUUGACUGCGAGAGUGACGGCUCGAGCAGGUACGAAAGUAGGUCUUAGUGAUCCGGUGGUUCUGAAUGGAAGGGCCAUCGCUCAACGGAUAAAAGGUACUCCGGGGAUAACAGGCUGAUACCGCCCAAGAGUUCAUAUCGACGGCGGUGUUUGGCACCUCGAUGUCGGCUCAUCACAUCCUGGGGCUGAAGUAGGUCCCAAGGGUACGGCUGUUCGCCGUUUAAAGUGGUACGCGAGCUGGGUUUAGAACGUCGUGAGACAGUUCGGUCCCUAUCUGCCGUGGGCGUUGGAAGAUUGAAAGGGGCUGCUCCUAGUACGAGAGGACCGGAGUGGACGCACCACUGGUGUUCGGGUUGUCAUGCCAAUGGCAUUGCCCGGUAGCUAAGUGCGGAAGAGAUAACCGCUGAAAGCAUCUAAGCGGGAAACUUGCCUUGAGAUGAGUCUUCCCUGACUCUUUAAGAGUCCUAAAGGAACGUUUAAGACUAAGACGUUGAUAGGUUGGGUGUGUAAGCGUAGCGAUACGUUGAGCUAACCAAUACUAAUGAACCGUGAGGCUUAACCUG
rnacentral:rRNA from 1 species